rnacentral:rRNA from 1 species
GAGUUUGAUCCUGGCUCAGAGUGAACGUUGGCGGCACGCCUAACACAUGCAAGUCGAGCGAAGAACAGAUAAAGCUUGCUUUAUCUGUUACUGAGCGGCGAACGGGUGAGUAAUACUUGGAUAAUCUGCCUCUAGGACCGGGAUAACCUCAGGAAACUGAGACUAAUACCGGAUGUGACCACGGACACUAAGGUGUCAGUGGUAAAAUGUUUUUUCGCCUAGAGAUGAGUCCAAGGCGCAUCAGGUUGUUGGUAAGGUAAAGGCUUACCAAGCCUAUGACGCGUAGCAGGUCUUAGCGGAUGAUCUGCCACAUGGGGACUGAGAUACGGCCCUGACUCCUACGGGAGGCAGCAGUGAGGAAUAUUGGGCAAUGGACGAAAGUCUGACCCAGCGAUGUCGCGUGAAGGAUGAAGGCCUUCGGGUUGUAAACUUCUGUCAGCAGGGAAGAUAAUGACGGUACCUGCAGGGGAAGCCCCGGCUAACUCCGUGCCAGCAGCCGCGGUAAUACGGAGGGGGCAAACGUUACUCGGAUUUACUGGGCGUAAAGGGUUCGUAGGCGGUUAUUUAAGUUAGAUGUGAAAGCUUGAAGCUUAACUUCAAAAUUGCAUCUAAAACUGGAUUACUAGAUUCUUAGAGAGGUUAAUGGAAUUACCGGUGUAGCGGUGAAAUGCGUAGAUAUCGGUAGGAACACCAGUGGCGAAAGCGAUUAACUGGCUAAGUAAUGACGCUGAGGGACGAAAGCGUGGGUAGCAAACAGGAUUAGAUACCCUGGUAGUCCACGCCCUAAACGAUGAAUACUAGAUGUAGGAUUUUUUCUGUGUCGUAGCUAACGCAUUAAGUAUUCCGCCUGGGGAGUACGGUCGCAAGGCUGAAACUCAAAGGAAUUGGCGGGGACUCGCACAAGCGGUGGAGCAUGUGGUUUAAUUCGAUGAUAAGCGAAGAACCUUACCAGGGCUUGACAUGUAAGCAUAAGCUUGCGUGAAAGCGUUGAGUGGAUCUAGGUUUACCUAGAUCGGUUUACACAGGUGCUGCAUGGCUGUCGUCAGCUCGUGCCGUGAGGUGUCCGGUUAAGUCCGGUA